rnacentral:rRNA from 1 species
AUGCAGCCAUGCCGCGUGUGUGAAGAAGGCCUUCGGGUUGUAAAGCACUUUCAGUCGUGAGGAAGGUAGUGUAGUUAAUAGCUGCAUUAUUUGACGUUAGCGACAGAAGAAGCACCGGCUAACUCCGUGCCAGCAGCCGCGGUAAUACGGAGGGUGCGAGCGUUAAUCGGAAUUACUGGGCGUAAAGCGCAUGCAGGUGGUUUGUUAAGUCAGAUGUGAAAGCCCGGGGCUCAACCUCGGAAUAGCAUUUGAAACUGGCAGACUAGAGUACUGUAGAGGGGGGUAGAAUUUCAGGUGUAGCGGUGAAAUGCGUAGAGAUCUGAAGGAAUACCGGUGGCGAAGGCGGCCCCCUGGACAGAUACUGACACUCAGAUGCGAAAGCGUGGGGAGCAAACAGGAUUAGAUACCCUGGUAGUCCACGCCGUAAACGAUGUCUACUUGGAGGUUGUGGCCUUGAGCCGUGGCUUUCGGAGCUAACGCGUUAAGUAGACCGCCUGGGGAGUACGGUCGCAAGAUUAAAACUCAAAUGAAUUGACGGGGGCCCGCACAAGCGGUGGAGCAUGUGGUUUAAUUCGAUGCAACGCGAAGAACCUUACCUACUCUUGACAUCCAGAGAACUUUCCAGAGAUGGAUUGGUGCCUUCGGGAACUCUGAGACAGGUGCUGCAUGGCUGUCGUCAGCUCGUGUUGUGAAAUGUUGGGUUAAGUCCCGCAACGAGCGCAACCCUUAUCCUUGUUUGCCAGCGAGUAAUGUCGGGAACUCCAGGGAGACUGCCGGUGAUAAACCGGAGGAAGGUGGGGACGACGUCAAGUCAUCAUGGCCCUUACGAGUAGGGCUACACACGUGCU